rnacentral:sRNA from 1 species
AUUCUUUGUACUGGGGUCUCUAUUUCUGCUACUGAAGGAGGUGGUACAGACGUUGCUGCAACUGGAGGGGGUGGUAAAAACCAAUUUUUAUCCUCCCUCUCCUGUUUUUUGUUUUCAAUUGGAUCUGUGGAUGGGACAACAGAUUCUUUGAGAUUUUUAGACUCAGUCUGCUGCCCAGCAGAAUAAUGAGAUAAUGGCAGAACAGUACGAACUAGACUCCACGUGAAGACAGAAGAAUCAACUUUAAGACCUUUUUGAUGAGCCUUUUUUAAUCCUUUUCCUGCUGUGUCCCAAUUUUCCACAUCAAGAGUGCCUGCCUGUGGAAACCAUGGGCUAUGCAUAAUAAUCUCCUGCAGAGAGGCUUAAUGUCUGUGAAUUAACCUGAGUUCCAGACUGUCUCAAUAGAACUUUAAACAACUGCACAUAGUGGUUUUUUUCAACAGACAAAUUCUGCCCCAUGUUACCCUGAUUCAGAAAACUUCCCAUUCCCAGUACUUUAGAGCACUGACCUUAUAUCGCUCCCAGUACCUCUUUAGGGCACUGACCUUACAUCUGCUGCCAGCCGACUCAUCCAGGGUUCCCCAUUCACCUUGUGAAUUUCAGUUCCUCUACUCCAGCAGAACCUUCUUUGUUCAUGUCCUCAAAGUCCUAUAUUCGGAGGCCACUUGUCUGACAUCCUCGAAGUCCCUGUUCUGGGUCACCAGUUGCCACCUGCACAGACCCUGGGGGACUGAACAAAGGGGGUGAACAUUGGAAUAAAAGACAAAGGUGUAUAUUUGGAAGAAGGGGUCAGGGGGCUCCUUCUAGUGAACAAGGGCCCUGAGCUUUAGAGCCCUUUGUAUUUUAUUGAGUAAAGGAGACGGUGGCAGGGGGAGGGGGUGGUUAUUGGUCAGCGGCUUGAUUUACAUCAGGUUUGCAAGACUGCAUUCUUUGAACAAUAGACUGUAGAUGUCCCAGUAGAUAAUUUCAAUGAGCAUGGCACCAGAGAGUGAUUACCUUCAGCAAACCUUCUGGUGUCAGGCGCAGUCGUGAGUUUGCCCACAUCCUGCAUUCAUGAUAGUUUGUUGUUUGAUCAUAUAGCCUCCAGUGGAAUGUUGAGCUGGUCACAUCUCUUGGGCCUUCAGCUUCCUACAUGUGGGAACACUCAGUCCUUUUCUGGGGAUGUGUUUCUUCUGGCUUGUGGAAGUGCCAUUAUUAAUGUCUAUACAGCUCUUCUUGGAUUUCUGAUUUUCCCUAAGAGGCUCAUCCCUGCUUCUUCCCAGAAGUUUUCAGUUUCUGUUGUAUUUCUCUGCUCAUAAUCUCUUUCAGAUUUACCCAUAAUUCUCUCGACUCUGCAGAUUCCCCACUGCUGCAAUGCAUCACCUCAGUUCCUUGUGUUUUCUGCACUGCCAGCAUGAUAUACACAAUACCCUGAUACUCCUACCAAUGUCUGAGUCAGGUGAGGCAGAAUCUAGACCCUCUGUCAGACAUGAAGGAUGCCAUUAUCAUGGGUUGAAGUUCCACUUUUUUCUUUCUGUUUUAGAGAGGAGCUCUAAAUUGGGAAGUAAUGCAGGAAACAAGCCUUGUAAAAAUCAACUUGGAUUCACUUUUCAGUUACAUCUGAGUGAUCUACAGCUAUUUCAAGCUGAAAGGAAAGUUUCUGGGUGUAAGCAUUUUGAAAAACCCAUCAGUGACAAUUCCUCAGUUUCACCGCUUGAAAAAAUUUCUUCCAGUGUCAAAUCCCACCUUUUAAAUAAAUAUAGAAAUAAUUUUGAUCAUGCGCCAUUACUUCCACAAGAACAGAAAGCACACAUUAGGGAAAAAGCUUAUAAAUGUAAUGAGCAUGGCCAAGUCUUUAGAGCAUCUGCAAGCCUUACUAACCAAGUAAUCCAUAAUGCAGAUAAUCCUUACAAAUGCAGUGAAUGUGGCAAGGUCUUUAGUUGCAGUUCAAAGCUUGUGAUACAUCGAAGAAUGCAUACUGGAGAGAAGCCUUACAAAUGUCAUGAAUGUGGCAAGCUCUUUAGUAGCAAUUCAAACCUUUCACAACAUCAAAGAAUUCAUACUGGAGAGAAGCCUUACAAAUGUCAUGAAUGUGACAAAGUCUUUCGAAGCAGUUCAAAGCUUGCACAACAUCAAAGAAUUCAUACGGGAGAGAAGCCUUACAAAUGUCAUGAAUGUGACAAGGUCUUCAAUCAAAUUGCACACCUUGUACGACAUCAAAAAAUUCAUACUGGAGAGAAACCUUACAGUUGUAAUAAAUGUGGCAAGGUCUUUAGUCGCCAUUCAUAUCUAGCAGAACAUCAAACAGUUCAUACUGGUGAGAAACCUUACAAAUGUGAAGAGUGUGGCAAAGCAUUUUCAGUGCGUUCCAGCCUCAUAACCCAUCAGUUAAUUCACACUGGAAGGAAACCUUACAAAUGUAAAGAAUGUGACAAGGUCUUUGGGCGCAAGUGUUUCCUGACCUCUCAUCAGAGAAUUCAUACUAGAGAGAGACCUUAUGGAUGCAGUCAGUGUGGCAAGAUCUUUAGUCAGAAAUCAGACCUUAUACGACAUCGAAAAACUCAUACUGAUGAGAAGCCUUACAAAUGUAAUAAAUGUGGCACAGCGUUUAGAGAGUUUUCAGACCUUACUGCCCAUUUUCUAAUCCAUAGUGGAGAGAAACCUUAUGAAUGUAAAGAAUGUGGCAAAGUCUUCAGGUACAAGUCUUCUCUAACCAGUCAUCAUAGAAUUCAUACUGGAGAGAAGCCUUACAAAUGUAACAGAUGUGGCAAGGUCUUCAGUCGCAGUUCAAACCUUGUAUGCCAUCAGAAAAUUCAUACAGGAGAAAAGCCUUACAAAUGUAAUGAAUGUGGCAAGGUCUUUAAUCAAGCGUCAUACCUUACAAGACAUCAAAUAAUUCAUACUGGAGAGAGGCCUUACAGAUGUAAUAAAUGUGGCAAAGCAUUUCGAGGGUGUUCAGGCCUUACUGCCCAUCUUGCAAUCCAUACUGAAAAGAAAUCUCAUGAGUGUAAAGAAUGUGGCAAGAUCUUCACUCACAAGUCUUCCCUCACCAAUCACCGUAGAAUUCACAUUGGAGAGAAACCUUACAAAUGCACCCUGUGCAGUAAGGUCUUCAGUCACAAUUCUGACCUUGCACAGCAUCAGAGAGUUCAUUCAUGAGAGUCCCUACAAACUGUGUAUGGGAAAACCAUCAUCAUGAGUUCUAGCAUUAAUCAACAUCAGUGAGUUCAUACUAAGUGGAAAUCAUAUAAAUGAAAUGUAUGUGACAGGCUUUAUCAAGGCCUGCCAAAUCACUAGACAUCACCACAUCACUGUGGAGGAUGAAAGCACACAGAUGAAUUGUGUGUACUUGGGCUAUUAUUCAAGGACCAUUGCUAUAGAACACGAUAGGAUUUACACAAGAAGUAACUCUGUCUCUGGUUCUCUGAUACUAAUCUAUGAUAUUGCAUAAUGCAGAAUAAUGCUAAGUCAAAAUAUGUUGAAUCUCAUGACGUGAUGUAUAUCAAAGGUGCAACGGCUUGUAAAUGACCAGUUUUAUUCAGGCUAUAAAGCAUUCAAUUAUUUGGAGCUUAUAGAAAAGGCUACUUUACUCUUUGUGACUUUGAAGUCUCUUCAUGUGCCUUCCAUACAGGCCAUUCACUGUGGUCCCUGGGAAAGAAUCAGUAGGAUGACAGGGCUGACUUCAUUAGCUGAGGAUUAUUUCUAUCCAAUUUCCUGAUGAAGGACAUUGUCUUUUGAGAUUAAAUAUUGUCUGAUUUAGAGAGCAUGGAGGUGGGCAGAGUAACAUAAAACUGAUGACCGUCGUCAUACUGUUGCAGUCAGCACACUUUCUCCUGACAUAAGUGCACAGAGCUUCAGUGUCCACCAACUGACCAUGAAAUAGAGUAUGCUGUAAUCUUAAGGCAUAGGUUAUUAGUGGGAAGAGAGUAAUAGGUUGCUAGUGUCUGAUUAUAUGGUAGAAAUAAUGCAAGGAAAAAGGUAGCCACCUUCUCCAUUGAACAGCAGUACCUGCUGUUUAGCAAAGACUGAUGAGAAAUAGACUUUUUUUUUUUUUUUUGGAGAUAGAGUUUCAAUCUGUUGCCCAGGCUGGAGUGUAGUUGUGUGUUCUUGGCUCACUGCACCCUCCGCCUCCUGGGUUCAAGCAGUCCUUCUGCCUUAGCCUCCUAAGUAGCUGAGACUACAGACGUGCGCCACCACACCCAGUUCAUUUUUGUAUUUUUAGUAGAGACGGUGUUUACCAUAUUGGCCAGGCAGGUCUCCAACUCCUGACCUCAAGUGAUAUGUUCACCUCAGCCUCCCAAAGUGCUGGGAUUACAGGCAUGAACCACAGUGUCCAGCCUCAUUUUUGAAAUGGAAUAGAGAACAGUUAUAUCACAGUUGAGAGUUUAAUCAAAAUGACUGGAUCAGCAUAUUCUUUUUUUAGAUGAGACAGAGUUUCGCCCUUGUCACCCAGGCUGUAGUGCGGUGGCGCGAUCUCGGCUCACUGCAACCUCCGCCUCCCGGGUUCAAGCAAUUCUCCUGCCUCAGCCUCCCAAGUAGCUGGGAUUACAGGCGUGUACCACCAUACCCAGCUAAUUUUUGUAUUUUUAGUAGAGAUGGGGUUUCACCACGUUGGCCACACUGGUCUCAAACUCCUGACCUCAGGCGAUCCAUCUGCCUCAGCCUGAAAGUGCUAGGAUUACAGGCGUGAGCCACCGCGCCUGUCCAGAUCAGCAUAUUCUUAAGUAGGAUUCACAUUUAAUUCUUGGUAUUAUAAGUUGCAACCAUUUGAUUUAGAAUGUAUGCAGCUCUCAUGUUUGUAGUAAUAAAGUUUCAUUUUUCCUAAGUAUGAAUGAA